rnacentral:rRNA from 1 species
CCUACGGGAGGCAGCAGUGAGGAAUAUUGGUCAAUGGCCGGAAGGCUGAACCAGCCAUGCCGCGUGAAGGUCAGUGCCCUAUGGGCGUUAAACUUCUUUUGUGCGGGAGCAAUAAUGGUCACGUGUGGCCAGACGAGAGUACCGUACGAAUAAGCAUCGGCUAACUCCGUGCCAGCAGCCGCGGUAAUACGGGUGAUGAAAGCGUUAUCCGGAUUUAUUGGGUUUAAAGGGUGCGUAGGCUGUGAGGUAAGUCAGCGGUGAAAUGCCCCCGCUCAACGGGGUGAAGUGCCAUUGAUACUGCCAUGCUGGAAUGCGGAUGCGGUGGGAGGAAUGUGUGGUGUAGCGGUGAAAUGCAUAGAUAUCACACAGAACACCGAUUGCGAAGGCAUCUCACGAAUCCGCGAUUGACGCUGAUGCACGAAAGCGUGGGUAUCAAACAGGAUUAGAUACCCCUGUAGUC